AUUCUAUCAAAAGAUUGGCUCGGCACCUUGAACCGUGGCCCUUUUUGCAUGAUACACAGGUCACUCAACUCGAUCACCUACCUUUGCUUGGCUUGGCUUGGCUUUGCUUUUGCUUUCGACAUGAGGCAGCCCGGGAAAUCUUACCGAAAAUCUAGAGCAGCCGAAUCCACCACCGUCGCCAUUGAUGAAUGAUGAUGAUGAUGAUGAUGAUUAGCUUGGAAUCUACAAGCUUGGGAAGGUACAAUGAUGCUACAAAGCCCCCAAUCAUGGCAUCCACAACCCAGCGUUUCCCCGGAGGGCCCCCCCUGAGAACGGCGUCGAGCUGGUUUUCAACGACGGUGACCGGACGGACAUCGCGCUUUUUGGUCUGGAUCAAAAGGAGAGAACACCAGGAAAAGGAGAUCAGAUGUGGUGCCAACCAUUCUGUUGCGUAAUCACGACUGCUCGUACUGUUUAAGGAUGAACAAGUUCAGUUGUUUCUAGUAUCAACUAAUUAGUGGCAAAGGAGCUUUGCUGCAAAGGAAGCGGCUUUUGGGCAGGUGGUUUGGUCCUGGUUCUCAAGAAAUGUAUGGCUUCCCUCUUGCCAGCAAAGCCGAAAGGAACGAGCGCAAGCACGAUCCCAGCAGCUUGGGCAUCAUAUAAAGCAGUUUUUCAUCUUUAGAAACGCCAUCAUGAGCCAAUGAUUAGAGCUGAACCUGAUAGCGCGCAGGAGAAGGUACGUUGAUAUUAUUCCAAAGGACAUGUGCUUCUCUUUAUUUCUUGUAUACAGGUGUAUAUAUAUAUGUACAAUCAUAAGGUCCUUAACUUUACAAGGUCAUGCAAUAAACAGUUGAUACGCU